GCCUUCGUGGUGUAGUGGUCAGCACCCUCGGCACGUAUUCGAGAGAUCCGUGGUUCGAGUCCCGGCGAGAGCG
rnacentral:tRNA from 1 species